UACAGAGGGUGCAAGCGUUAAUCGGAAUUACUGGGCGUAAAGAGCCUGUAGGUGGUUUUGUAAGUCUGAUGUGAAAGCCCUGGGCUUAACCUGGGAGAGUCAUUGGAAACUACAAGACUAGAGACGAGUAGAGGGGAGUGGAAUUUCCGGAGUAGCGGUGAAAUGCGUAGAUAUCGGAAGGAACACCAGUGGCGAAGGCGGCUCCCUGGGCUCGCACUGACACUGAGAGGCGAAAGCGUGGGUAGCGAACAGG
rnacentral:misc_RNA from 1 species